ACUCUCCGGGGGUCCGGCAUAAAGCGACGGAACCCUAGUUCUUGUCGAAGGGCGUUGCUGGGAGUGACUGACGUGUUCAGGCAUGUCUCACCAGUACUCCCCCCUGAAGAGAGCAUGGCGAAACACCCGUGUAGCCUCAGUCUCCCCACCCCGAGCAAGGUAGUACGUGUGGUCCAUGCACUAUCAGAUGGACUGAUUCACUAUCAGAAUCUAGUCAUUGUGCUCACAGCGACACUAAUGACUCCGCGUGGUCCAUGCACUAUCAGAUGGACUGAUUCACUAUCAGAAUCUAAUUCCAGGCCAAUGGAACUACAAGUUUAUAGUCCUACUCUGAUCAAGAGCGACUUUUGCUGUGUGGAUUCUGGCCGAAGCAACAGAAUGCGUGGAUUCACUAUUAGAAUCUGAUUCUGGCCAAAGCAACAGAAUGCGUGGAUUCGUUAUCCGAAUCGGGUUCUGGCC
rnacentral:lncRNA from 1 species